rnacentral:rRNA from 1 species
CGGACGGGUGAGUAAUGUCUGGGAAACUGCCUGAUGGAGGGGGAUAACUACUGGAAACGGUAGCUAAUACCGCAUAACGUCGCAAGACCAAAGAGGGGACCUUAGGGCCUCUUGCCAUCGGAUGUGCCCAGAUGGGAUUAGCUAGUAGGUGGGUAACGGCUCACCUAGGCGACGAUCCCUAGCUGGUCUGAGAGGAUGACCAGCCACACUGGAACUGAGACACGGUCCAG